rnacentral:rRNA from 2 species
AAGUGCGAUCAUACCAGGACUAAUGCACCGGAUCCCAUCAGAACUCCGCAGUGAAGCGUGCUUGGGCGAGAGUAGUACUAGGAUGGGUCACCUCCUGGGAAGUCCUCGUGUUGCACCUC